rnacentral:rRNA from 1 species
UACGUAGGGUGCAAGCGUUAAUCGGAAUUACUGGGCGUAAAGCGUGCGCAGGCGGUUUUGUAAGUCAGAUGUGAAAUCCCCGGGCUUAACCUGGGAACUGCGUUUGAAACUACAAGGCUAGAGUGUGGCAGAGGGGGGUGGAAUUCCACGUGUAGCAGUGAAAUGCGUAGAUAUGUGGAGGAACACCGAUGGCGAAGGCAGCCCCCUGGGUCAAAACUGACGCUCAUGCACGAAAGCGUGGGGAGCAAACAGG